rnacentral:tRNA from 1 species
GGUGUUGUAGCUUAGUGGUAGAGCACUUGCCUUGUAUGUGUGAGGCACGGGGUUCGAUCCAGCACCA